GGCGCCUGGGCACAAAGAGGAGCACGGGAGAAGGAUUUACUCCACUAUACGAAUUUCUUACCACGCAAGUCGUCGUCUAUAGAGCUCGUGCACCUACGUCAUCAAAUCACGUCACUGGCCGGAAGUGCCGGUCAAGCAAACCAUUCUUCAUUGCUAAAUCGAUUGGAGACGCAAAAAUACGUCUUAGAGCACGACACGCAGUUUUGUUAAACAUUUAGAAGGUGAUAAUAAAUGAAGGUAUGUAGAAAAAUGAGAGACACUCGGCAUAAAGGACCCAUAUUCUAUGUUUUCGCCGAUAAGAAAUUGGACUUUUAUCCCGCUUGUCCUGGACAACUGGAUCUAGUGACCCAGGAGUCAAGAUCCCACCUAGCGUGUUGACCAAGCAGACGCCGACCAUGUCCAGCGAGAGCAGAGUGUCGUACACGUGCUCCCCGCCGACGUGGUUCAUGAACACGUGGUAGAGCACCGAGCCCACCGUGGGGCUGAGGCAGGCCAGGUAGUGGACCACCCCGAUCCAGACGCUGUCCACCUCCCUCCAGGGGAUGCUGAAGGGCAGCAGCACCAGGAACAGGAAGAAAGGGAUCCCUGAGGAACGCCAGAGAGGGUGUAAAUGCAGUUUGAGGUGCUGGCGGAUGUGAAGCUGACCCGGCAUCCGCUCGGGGUCGUCCGGCCGCUCCGAUCCCCCGGCCGCGUCGGAGUCAAACGAGAGUCCGCCGGCGACCCUGAGGUCAGACGAGAG